GCUUCAACUAGUUUACAUGAACCAUACUUAUAGUCCUACUCCAGUCUCACUUUCAGAUCAUUUAUCAUCUGAUUUACUUAACUAGAUGUCCAUCUCAAUAGGUGGUCUAGGUAUCUUCUGACUCCUCUGACAUGGCACCAUCAGACCGAAUCCUUGAAUGGCCUACUCCAUUAAGUUGUUUUAAACCUUUACUGUAUCUGUGUGAUAAAGUAAAACAAUCACUGGAGUGCAUCUUUAAGUGAGAUCCAUCACUCCUCUAGUCACUUACACACAUUAUGUCAGGUAGAGUGUAGAUGUUAGUUCAGGCAGAGUGUAGAUGUUAGUUCAGGCAGAGUGUAGAUGUUAGUUCAGGCAGAGUGUAGAUGUUAGUCCAGGCAGAGUGUAGAUGUUAGUCCAGGCAGAGUGUAGAUGUUAGUCCAGGCAGAGUGUAGAUGUUAGUCCAGGCAGAGUGUAGAUGUUAGUUCAGGCAGAGUGUAGAUGUUAGUCCAGGCAGAGUGUAGAUUAAGGACAGUAGAUGGACACCCAACCCACACAUACACACAUGUUUUAAGUGAUGUCACAUCCUGCCACUAAUGAAGGACUUCUGAGGUAUGUAGCACAUUGAGGGAAAAUUCCCCACAUUCUUCCCCCCACAGAGUACUUGUAGAGAAGAGACAUGGGUUAAGGUCAAUGCAAGGUUAACAGGCUAAGUGGCUAAUAUGCUUUGAGAAUACAAUACAGGCCGUAAUCAAUCUGAGGCAUCCAUUGUUAUGGUCUGUAGAAUGUUUAGAAUGUUGUCAGUCUAUGGAGACCAGUAUAAUUGACUGUAGCCGUGAGAGCUGACCGGCUCUGUAUGUGUAUGUGUGUGUGUGUAUGUGUGUGUGUGU
rnacentral:lncRNA from 1 species